UACGGAGGGAGCUAGCGUUGUUCGGAAUUACUGGGCGUAAAGCGCGCGUAGGCGGCUUUGUAAGUUAGAGGUGAAAGCCCGGGAGCUCAACUCCGGAACUGCCUUUAAAACUGCAUCGCUUGAAUCCAGGAGAGGUGAGUGGAAUUCCGAGUGUAGAGGUGAAAUUCGUGAGAUAUUCGGAAGAACACCAGUGACGAAGGCGGCUCACUGGACUGGUAUUGACGCUGGAGGUGA
rnacentral:rRNA from 1 species